rnacentral:lncRNA from 1 species
CAGUGAUUCACUUCCUGCCCGCAUUGCAGAUGCGAGCUAGGGGAUGGCCAGGGCUCUGUUAAGGCCGGGUGUAUGGAAGUCUGCUUCUUACCCGCUGCUGCAAGCUGUGCUCAGAGGUAAUUCAGCUCCUCUGCCGUUUCCUCUCUGCUUCUAAUUAUUUUAUCCGAUCAUGACAAUUGCAUCAGUUCUCAGCAAAGUGGCUGAGAAAAAGGAGACACUAAACCCACAGAGUGCAGACAACAGAGACCUUUGUAACAUCCUCUUCUCCCAGCAACUUGCUCUGAUGUCACCCAAAAAGGAUGCUGAAACUGGGCAUGGAACAGACUCCAGGAGAGAGAGUGAUUCCUGAACAGAAAUGUCCCUCCGCUGGAUCCUUCACAAUUGCUGAGGAUGGGAGGCAGCAGUUUAAAGCCACACCUAGAGAACAGACCCUGAGGGUGUGAAGGAAGAGUCGGUGAAGGAAGAGCCCGUGGAGGUAAAGACAGAACCGUUCCAUGUCCCUCCGUCUGAGGCCAUCCAUCAGCGUGUGACCCCAGGAGCAGAGAGGAGGCUCCCCAGGAGCUCUGGCCAUGUGCCGAGUGACCCAUGCGAAGGUUGGAGUCGGAGCCCGCAGAACCCCUCACAACCUGAACUUGCCAUCAGUGAGGUGGGGGGGCAGCAGGAGCCACUGGGCACGGAUUUCACGAGUAUUAUCUUUGACCAAGAGGCAGAGCACCUGAAUAAUUGUAACGUGGGUGAGCCCGUGACCCCCGGAACUAUGUCGCUGCAGGAGGGGGGGCCUGAGAGCAGCCAUCUCAGCCAAGCAGAGAAGCGGAUCAUCCAGUCGAAUGAGCAGCUGGUGCAGGAAAUGCGAGCCUUCCGCAGGGAGUAUGCGGAGAGCCGCAGGGAAACCGCCUCCAUCCUGCGCAUCAUUGCUGAGGCCCUCAGUGGUGUCAGCAGCAGCCUCUCUGAGAUCCGAGAUCUCUACCUCCGAGAGCAGGUGACCCCCAAGCAGUGAGGGGCCACAGGGCCUGGUUGUAACGCAGCUGGCUGUGUGGGGGAGGACUGUGACUUGUUGGGGGAGGGAAACCCUGAAAGGGGUGGCCUGGAGCAGAGACAUAAGAGGCCUGCUCAGUUGAUGGGAGAGAGAUUUUGGUUUGGGGACUGGUUUCUCCCCCAAGUUGUUCCUUUUUUUUUUUUUUUUUUUUUUUUUAAACCCUGCCCUGCCCUUUCUCCACUUCAAUAAAACUCUAAACUGGCCACA